rnacentral:rRNA from 1 species
UCCGCUUAAAGAGGAGCCUGCGGCAGAUUAGCUAGUUGGUAAGGUAACGGCUUACCAAGGCUACGAUCUGUAACCGACCUGAGAGGGUGGUCGGUCACACUGACACUGAAUAACGGGUCAGACUCCUACGGGAGGCAGCAGUCGGGAAUUUUGGGCAAUGGGCGAAAGCCUGACCCAGCAACGCCGCGUGAAGGAUGAAGUCUUUCGGGAUGUAAACUUCGUAAGAAUGGGAAGAAUAAAUGACGGUACCAUUUGUAAGGUCCGGCUAACUACGUGCCAGCAGCCGCGGUAAUACGUAGGGA